UAUGAUUUAUGUAUUUAAUUAGAAAUGGGUUUUUUGCCCAAAUUUGUAUUAUGUAUUUAAUUAGCAAGUACAAUGGUUCACUGGUUUGUAUUAGUUUUGGUCUAACACUUCCUCUUCUAACUUGUUCUGCCCAAAUUUUUUCACUAUAAUGAAAGAGAAAAUAGGUCUGUACCUGCACACGAGAGUGACAAGACACUUCUUCCUUCGCCCGUUCGCCGUUUCGCUGCCUCUUUGUAUAAUAGGUAUCAACUUGGCGUGAAAUUGGCAUCUCCCCAUAGACACUGAUAGAGUGUCCAAAUUUGGAGCAGAAAAGCAGAAUUCUUUGUCCACUUGGCGACCAAGUUCUUUGGUUGGAGCCAAUAUUAAUGCCAAAUGAUUCCUUUCUCAGGUCAGUGACUUAAGUUAAUGUUAACUAUGUUAUGAUUUAUUCAUUUGGGAAUUAAAAAAUUGCGAAUUGUGAUUUAUGAAUUAUGAUGAGUAAUUUACGUUUUAUGAGUUA